UACGUAGGGGGCAAGCGUUGUCCGGAAUCACUGGGCUUAAAGCGUGUGUAGGCGGACUUCUAAGUGCCUUGUGAAAUCCCACGGCUCACCCGUGGAACUGCUGGGCAUACUGGGAGUCUUGAGCCACCUAGGGGCGAGCGGAACAAAUGGUGGAGCGGUGAAAUGCGUAGAUAUCAUUUGGAACGCCAACGGAGAAAUCAGCUCGCUGGGGGUGUGCUGACGCUGAGACACGAAAGCCAGGGGAGCGAACGGG
rnacentral:rRNA from 1 species